GCACAACGCGAAGAACCUUACCUACUCUUGACAUCCAGAGAACUUAGCAGAGAUGCUUUGGUGCCUUCGGGAACUCUGAGACAGGUGCUGCAUGGCUGUCGUCAGCUCGUGUUGUGAAAUGUUGGGUUAAGUCCCGCAACGAGCGCAACCCUUAUCCUUUGUUGCCGGCGGUUCGGCCGGGAACUCAAAGGAGACUGCCAGUGAUAAACUGGAGGAAGGUGGGGAUGACGUCAAGUCAUCAUGGCCCUUACGAGUAGGGCUACACACGUGCUACGAUGGCAUAUACAAAGAGAAGCGACCUCGCGAGAGCAAGCGGACCUCAUAAAGUAUGUCGUAGUCCGGAUUGGAGUCUGCAACUCGACUCCAUGAAGUCGGAAUCGCUAGUAAUCGUGGAUCAGAAUGCCACGGUGAAUACGUUCCCGGGUCUUGUACACACCG
rnacentral:rRNA from 1 species